GCAGGCCCUGUGCCCUGAGGAGCUGCUGGAGGACGCUGCCCUGAAGACCUUGAGAAGAGCGGAAGAGUGACGAGAACCAGCAGGGAGAAGCUGAAGGCCACAGCGAGAGCAGCGAACGGGGACCUGCUGCUGCCGCCCGAGACCCUGGGUGUCCCAUCUGCUGUCCCCGUCCAGGAGAGCUGCUCUGCACGGGAGGAAGAGACCGAGGGAGAGGCUUUGAUGAUGGGGCGGCUGGAAUCCCUCUUCUUGUAUCUCUGUUUAAAGAUGUAUGGACUUGCUCAUAAGAUAGUGACCAUUACAUGGAUAUUUAUAUGUAGGUUGCUAUUUGUAUAGGCAUAUUUGUAUAUGUAUGUUGUUAUAUUUAUGGG